rnacentral:rRNA from 1 species
UACGUAGGCAGCAAGCGUUGUUCGGAGUUACUGGGCAUAAAGGGUGUGUAGGCGGUUUUCUAAGUCUGGUGUGAAAUCUCCCGGCUCAACUGGGAGGGUGCGCCGAAAACUGGAAGGCUAGAGUGCUGGAUGGGUAAGUGGAAUUCCUGGUGUAGCGGUGAAAUGCGUAGAUAUCAGGAGGAACACCAAUAGCGAAGGCAGCUCGCUGGGACGGUACUGACGCUGAGGUGCGAAAGCGUGGGGAGCGAACAGG